UUACGUGAGUGCACCGAGAGGGCCCGUCCUGCAACGUUCGCAAACCGUCUCGUGGACGAUGGUUUUAGAACGGUUAUUGACUCUCACAGUCGUCACCACACUUGUGAGGUGUCAAGUAGACAACGACCUCUUGUGGACGACACGGGAAACGGAUCAGGGUUUGAGGAUUCCUGAAUACGGUGACGAAGACAACGAGGUCAUGGAGGUCUGUCCACGGACCAAACCGGGUCAAGAUGAUCUUCCUGGUAAGAACUUGUGACGUCUUUAUAUAAAAACAAAUUAUAAUGACAUCACUGACUUUUAUGUACACUGUAAAAGCGCAACAGAAA